rnacentral:sRNA from 1 species
UAUUGACUGCCGAAGACAGCAGGUGCCGUAUGGCAUAAGGUGUAAACGCCUGCCGAGGAAGAUACAAGUAUCAUUUUUGUGAUGAAUUGUAGACCUCUCUGCUCUUUGGGCGGAGAGGUUUUUCUU